rnacentral:misc_RNA from 1 species
UCUCCGUAGGUGAACCUGCGGAGGGAUCAUUACAGAGUUCAAGCCAUCGCGGGAAGAUCUCCCACCCACUGUUAUUGUUACUGACGUUUCCUCGGCGGGCCGCCGCGCCGCCCGCCGCCGGCGUGCACUAGCCGGCGCGAGCAAGCCAGUGGUAUUUGUACCCUCAUUGUCCGUGUAGAACGAGUAAAAAAGACUAGUCAAAACUUUCAACAACGGAUCUCUUGGUUCUGGCAUCGAUGAAGAGCGCAGCAGAUCGGCAGAGGACACAUCUGAACUCCC